rnacentral:rRNA from 1 species
UGAGUACAAGAUGCUACGGCAUUGAAGCAGUCUAUGUCAUACUUCCAAGAAAAGCUUGCAAUGUCAUAAACAAAUAAUGCCUGUACCAUAACCGACACAGGUGGGUAGGUAGAGUAUACUAAGGGGCGCGAGAUAACUCUCUCUAAGGAACUCGGCAAAAUGACUCCGCAACUUCGGGAGAAGGAGUACCUUAUUUUAUAAGGUUGCAAUAACAAGGUCCAAGCAACUGUUUACCAAAAACACAGGUCUCCGCUAAGUCGUAAGACGAUGUAUGGGGGGCUGACGCCUGCCCAGUGCCAGAAGGUUAAAGAAGUUGGUUAGCAUUAGCGAAGCUGAUAACUGAAGCCCUGGUGAACGGCUGCCGUAACUAUAACGGUCCUAAGGUAGCGAAAUUCCUUGUCGGGUAAGUUCCGACCCGCACGAAAGGCGUAAUGAUUUGGAUACUGUCUCGGAGAGGGGCUCGGUGAAAUAGACUUGUCUGUGAAGAUGCGGACUACCUGCACCUGGACAGAAAGACCCUAUGAAGCUUUACUGUAACUUGAGAUUGAAAUUGGACUUUAUUUGCGCAGUAUAGGUGGGAGACCUCGAAAGUAUUCUUGCGGGAAUAUUGGAGUCAUCAGUGAGAUACCACUCUUAUAAUGUUAGAUUUCUAACUUUGUAUCAUUAUCUGGUCAAAGAACAGCUUCAGGCGGGCAGUUUGACUGGGGCGGUCGCCUCCCAAAUGGUAACGGAGGCGCACAAAGGUUUCCUCUGAACGUGUAGAAAUCGUAUCUAGAGUGUAAAGGCAUAAGGAAGCUUGACUGUGAGACCUACAAGUCGAGCAGGGACGAAAGUCGGUCUUAGUGAUCUGACGGUGCUGAGUGGAAAGGCCGUCACUCAACGGAUAAAAGUUACUCUAAGGAUAACAGGCUGAUCUCCCCCAAGAGUUCACAUCGACGGGGAGGUUUGGCACCUUGAUGUCGGCUCAUCGCAUCCUGGGGCGGUAGUACGUCCCAAGGGUUGGGCUGUUCGCCCAUGAAAGCGGUACGCGAGCUGGGUUCAGAACGUCGUGAGACAGUUCGGUCCAUAUCCGGUGUAGGCAUUAGAAUAUUGAGAGGAGCCUUCUUUAGUACGAGAGGACCGAGAAGGACAUACCUCUGGUGUACCAGUUAUCGUGCCAACGGUAAACGCUGGGUAGCUAUGUAUGGAGAGGAUAACCGCUGAAAGCAUCUAAGUGGGAAGCCCACCUCAAGAUAAG